rnacentral:rRNA from 1 species
UAAGGAAUAUUGGACAAUGGUCGCAAGACUGAUCCAGCCAUGCCGCGUGCAGGAUGACUGCCCUAUGGGUUGUAAACUGCUUUUAUACGGGAAUAAACCCUUGGACGUGUCCGAGGCUGAAUGUACCGUAAGAAUAAGGGUCGGCUAACUUCGUG